UACGGAGGAUGCGAGCGUUAUCCGGAUUUAUUGGGUUUAAAGGGUGCGUAGGCGGUCCGGAAAGUCAGCGGUAAAAGCCCGGGGCUCAACCCCGGCGAGCCGUUGAAACUGUCGGACUAGAGACGGCGAGAAGUACGCGGAAUGCGCGGUGUAGCGGUGAAAUGCAUAGAUAUCGCGCAGAACUCUGAUUGCGAAGGCAGCAUACCGGCGCCCAACUGACGCUGAAGCACGAAAGCGUGGGUAUCGAACAGG
rnacentral:rRNA from 1 species